UUGCUUUGGCAGCACAUAUACUAAAAUUGGAAUGACUCAGAGAUUAGCACGCCCCCUGCACAAGGAUGACACACAAAUUCCUGAAGCAUUAAAAAAUAAA
rnacentral:snRNA from 1 species